rnacentral:lncRNA from 1 species
CCCAGCCUCAAGCCAUCCUCCCACCUCAGCCUCCCGAGUAGCUGGGACCAGAGGCACAUGUCACCACACCUGGCUAAAUUUUUUUUUUUUUUUUUUUUUUGUAGAGAUGGGGUUUUGCCAUGUUCCCCAAGCUCAUCUUGAACUCCUGGGCUCAAGUGAUCUGCCUGCCUUGGCCUCCAAAGUGAUAGGAUUACAUGUUGCUGAGUCUGCCUGAAGAGCGCCCAACUUGGCAGCAGCUUGGCAGAGCAGAGGAAACAGGCUCUCCUGCAUUCAGCCUGCCCUGGCACAUCUGGAAUCUGGCUGACACCUGAGUCUGGGUUAGACUGCUGGGGGCCAGGGGGCUGGCUUUGGGGCUGUGCUUCAGGCAAGGAGGCCAGGGCUGCUCACCUGGCCCACUUCCCUCAUUCCUCACCUGCUCCCUGCCCACCUGCCCAGGGGGUAGAUCUGGGCCAGGCAUCUCAGGGGAGCCCCUCUCUCAGUGGUGCCUGCCUCUGCCCAUCAUGCCCUGCCCUGGUAGGGCUUUGGCCAAGGACCCAGGGCCCUGCUCCUGCUUGCCGCAGAAGGAGGAGGAAGCUGGGGGGUGGUAUCUGCAGGACAGGACCUGGAGAUGGCGUCUGGGGUGGGAGUUUUGGCCCCUGAGGCUGUCUGCCCAGCCAGUCUCCAGUCCUUCAGGAGCUCCUCCCCACCCAGUGCCCAUGCCCUUCUCUGCAGCGAUCCUGCUCUGCAGAGACUGUAGGGACCCUGCUACCCCUCCUCAUUCCUCCUGGUCCCCAAACUCUGAGCCUAUUGUUUAGAAGAUUUUGUCCUGAAAUGAAACUGUUGAGAAAG